rnacentral:rRNA from 3 species
GCGUUAACGAACGAGACCUCAGCCUGCUAACUAGCUAUGCGGAGGUGACCCUUCGUGGCCAGCUUCUUAGAGGGACUAUGGCCGCUUAGGCCACGGAAGUUUGAGGCA